rnacentral:rRNA from 1 species
CUCCUACGGGAGACAGCAGUGGGGAAUUUUUGCGCAAUGGGGGAAACCCUGACGCAGCAACGCCGCGUGGAGGAUGAAGCCCCUUGGGGCGUAAACUCCUUUCGACCAAGACGAUAAUGACGGUACUGGUGGAAGGAGCACCGGCUAAUUCCGUGCCAGCCGCCGCGGUAAUAC